UGUUUCGGCUAGGGGGCCAUCCCGGCUUACCAACCCGAUGCAAACUACGAAUACCGAAGAAUGUUAUCACGGGAGACACACGGCGGGUGCUAACGUCCGUCGUGAAGAGGGAAACAACCCAGACCGCCAGCUAAGGUCCCAAAGUCAUGGUUAAGUGGGAAACGAUGUGGGAAGGCACAGACAGCCAGGAUGUUGGCUUAGAAGCAGCCAUCAUUUAAAGAAAGCGUAAUAGCUCACUGGUCGAGUCGGCCUGCGCGGAAGAUGUAACGGGGCUAAACCAUGCA
rnacentral:rRNA from 1 species